rnacentral:rRNA from 1 species
GGUUUGAUCCUGGCUCAGAUUGAACGCUGGCGGGAUGCUUUACAGAUGCAAGUCGAACGGCAGCACGGACUUCUGGUCUGGUGGCGAGUGGCGAACGGGUGAGUAAUGUAUCGGAACGCCUAGUAGCGGGGGAUAACUACGCGAAAGCGGAAGCAAUAUCGCACACGCCCUUCGGGGGAAAGCGGGACCUUCGGCCUCGCACCAUUAGAGCGGCCGAUAUCGGAUUAGCUAGUUGGUGGGGUAACGGCUCACCAAGGCGACGAUCCGUAGCUGGUUUUGAGAGGACGACCAGCCACACUGGGACUGAGACACGGCCCAGACUCCUACGGGAGGCAGCAGUGGGGAAUUUUGGACAAUGGGGAAACCCCGAUCCAGCCAUCCCUGCGUGCGAUGAAGGCCUUCAAAAUGUAAAGCACUUUUGGCAGGUGAACGCAACGAUGUUGUCGUGGCAACCGACGUGGCCUGACGUAUUGGUACCGGCUAACUACGUGCCAGCCAUGGUAGCUUGUGGCAAAUAUCGGAACGCCUGGCGAAGCAAUGCAGGCGGUUCUCCGGAAGAAAGAUGUGAAAUCCGCUGUAACUUUGAAACUGCAUUUUUAAUCUGCCCAGAGCUAGAGGUGUCUUCAGAGGAGUGGAAUUCCGUGUGAGAAGAAAAUGCGGAUGUGCUGAGGAUUGUCUGAUGCAAUAGCAGCCCUCAGACAACACACUGAUACAGCAACGAAAGUGGAACAAACAGGAUUAGAUACCCUGGUAGUCCACGCCCUAAACGAUGUCAAUCCAGCUGCUGGGGCCUCGGGCCUGGUAGCGCAGCUAACGCGUGAAGUUGACCGCCUGGGGAGUACGGUCGCAAGAUUAAAACUCAAAGGAAUUGACGGGGACCCGCGUACAAGCGGUGGACGAUGUGGAUUAAUUCGAUGCAACGCGAAAACCUUACCUACCCUUGACAUGUCUGGAAUCCUGAAGAGAUUUGGGAGUGCUCGCAAGAGAACCGGAACACAGGUGCUGCAUGGCUGUCGUCAGCUCGUGUCGUGAGAUGUUGGGUUAAGUCCCGCAACGAGCGCAACCCUUGUCAUUAGUUGCUACGAAAGGGCACUCUAAUGAGACUGCCGGUGACAAACCGGAGGAAGGUGGGGAUGACGUCAAGUCCUCAUGGCCCUUAUGGGUAGGGCUUCACACGUCAUACAAUGGUCGGGACAGAGGGUCGCCAACCCGCGAGGGGGAGCCAAUCCCCAGAAACCCGAUCGCAGUCCGAUCGCAGUCUGCAACUCGACUGCGUGAAGUCGGAAUCGCUAGUAAUCGCGGAUCAGCAUGUCGCGGUGAAUACGUUCCCGGGUCUUGUACACACCGCCCGUCACACCAUGGGAGUGGGUUUUACCAGAAGUAGUUAGCCUAACCGUAAGGAGGGCGAUUACCACGGUAGGAUUCAUGACUGGGGUGAAGUCGUAACAAGGUAA